UACGAAGGGGGCUAGCGUUGUUCGGAAUUACUGGGCGUAAAGCGCGCGCAGGCGGUCUUCCAAGUCAGUGGUGAAAGCCCGGAGCUCAACUCCGGAACUGCCAUUGAAACUGUUAGACUUGAGGACGAGAGAGGUGAGUGGAAUUCCCAGUGUAGAGGUGAAAUUCGUAGAUAUUGGGAAGAACACCAGUGGCGAAGGCGGCUCACUGGCCCGGUACUGACGCUGAGGUGCGAAAGCGUGGGGAGCAAACAGGG
rnacentral:rRNA from 1 species